GACCAUGGGGGUUCGUUCAUGGGCUUUUUAGUUAGUUAUCAGCGCUCUUCCCGUCGACAGGAGCUGUGUCCGUCAGCUAGACCAGUUACCAGCGGAUGUCACUAGCUAGUCUUCUUGCUGGUGUUCCCAUUAACCAUUCAUCAACACAAUGGAUGGAAGAAGAUUGCCAAGAAUAAUAUUGAACUGUUGCUUUUGGUUUCUGACAUUGCAUCUUGUCCAACGCAAACGCACGUUGGGAUGGUUAGGGUUUGGAGACAGACGAACGCAAACAUUGGUGGUUGACUGGAUGGCCAAUUAACCUGCAAACCUUGGGAUGGGGGAGGAAACCAGAGCACCCGGAGAAAACUAAAUAGGAAGUACAUGGUAAAUGGUAGGGAAUUGAAGAAUACAGUUGAACAGAGGGAUCUGGGAAUAACCGUGCAUAGUUCCUUGAAGGUGGAAUCUCAUAUAGAUAGGGUGGUAAAGAAAGCUUUUGGUAUGCUAGCCUUUAUAAAUCAGAGCAUUGAGUA